rnacentral:rRNA from 1 species
UACGUAGGGUGCGAGCGUUGCCCGGAUUUAUUGGGCGUAAAGGGCGCGUAGGCGGCCUGGCAAGUGGAAGGUGAAAUCCCUCGGCUUAACCGAGGAACUGCCCUCCAAACUGCUUGGCUUGAGACCGGGAGAGGUGAGUGGAAUUCCCAGUGUAGCGGUGAAAUGCGUAGAUAUUGGGAGGAACACCAGUGGCGAAGGCGGCUCACUGGACCGGUACUGACGCUGAGGCGCGAAAGCGUGGGGAGCAAACGGG